AGGCUGUAGAUGCCCCAAAAACUGCUGCACAUGUUUCAAGUGUCACAUCUUUGAUAUUACCUCUUCUAAGUCUUCUGCAUCAUCAUUAUCAUCAUUAUCUGCAGAGAAUUUCAGUAUAUCUUCGAGUUUCUUGUUACAUUUGAGAUAUUCCUGAUACUUAAUCAAUAGUGGAGAAGCUCCUGAAAUCAUUGACUUCCUCACUCCAUAAUGGUUUCCAACACCCAAUGAAGUAGUAGGAGGAAAACAUGGGUUUCUUCUCCUGGAAGCCUCCAGAAGAAGGUAUUUCAAUAUGGGGAGAGUGGUCAGCUGUGUCACAGGUCACUGAGAAUUUGAAUAAGACAAGGAAAAAGGGUUGACUGUAGAUUUUGGCAAGUAUUUGGUCACUGGGGGCCUUGAUAAGAGCUGUUUCAUUGAAGUAUUCAUGAGAAUAACUUGUAGUGAAAUAUAUCUCAAAUAGACCUCCACGAUGUUGCCUAGAGGGCAGUGUUACCCUUUGAACUACCAACAUUAACCACUGGAACUGCUCAUCUGGAAGUCUCUUACAGUGCUGGUACAAACUAGAAUACACACAGGAAGGGAUCAUUUUAUACAUGUUAUUGUGCUACUUGCUGUAUCUACUUAGUGUUCCAUACAUGUAAUUACCUAUUCCAUCCUAUCCCAAAGUACUGAUAAUCUCCAUUCUACUUUCUCUGUCUGUGAAUUUGACUAUUCAUAGAGAGAGAGAUAUGUGGAAGUAUGCAUGUGUCCUUCCAUGUCUGGCUUAUUUCACUUAGAACGUUUUCAAGGUUUAUCCAUGUGGUAGCAUGUAUCAGGAACUCAUUGUUUUUGUGUCUGAAUAAAUUUCCACUGUAUGGUUAAAGCAUACUUUGUUUAUCCAUUUUUAUGUUGAUAAAUAUGGGUUGUUUCCACAGUAAUAAUUUGGCUGCUAUCAAUAAGGCCGCUGUGGAUGUGGUAUGUAUAUGUCUGUGUGAGUCCCUGCUUUCAAUUCUUUUGGAUAUAUGUAUCCCUAGGAGUGUAAUUGCUGGUUCACAGAAUAAUUGGUGUAAACCUUUUUCAGGAACAGGUAUAUUGCUUUACAAAGUGGCUACAAUGUUUUACAUUCUCUCCAGCAAUGCAUAAGGGUUUCUAUUUUCCACAUUGUCACAUAUACUGGUUAUGUCGUAUUUUUUUUUCAUAAUAGCCAAUUAAUGGUUCUGUACUGGUUUUUCAUUGUGGUUUUGAUUUGCAUUUCCCUAAUGACCAAUAAUAAUGCGCAUUGGUUUUUGUUUUUGUUGGUUGUUUAUAUAUUUUUUGAACCAGUUUGUUUUAAAAUCCUUUGCUCAUUAAAAUUGAGUCAUUUGUGUUUUGUUGUUGAGUUAUAGGAAUUCUUAUUUAAAAUUUUUAGUUUUUAAUAUUUAGAAAAUUUCUUUUUGUUUUCAGCUCCCAAGUGCUUGGAAGAGAGUUGUAGGAAUUCUUUAUACACUGUGGGUAUUAAGCCCUUAUUUGAUAUGUGAUAUGCAGAUGUGUUCUCCCUUUCUGUAGGUUUUCUUUUCAUCUUGAGAUUGUCCUUUGGUGCGCAAAAGUUUUUAAUUUCGAUGUAGUCCAGUUUAUCUUUUAUUGGUUGUCUGUGCCUUAAAUGUUGCAUCCAAUAAAUCAUUGCCAAAUUCAACAAAA